rnacentral:rRNA from 1 species
GACGAACGCUGGCGGCGCGCUUAAUACAUGCAAGUCGAACGAGAAGCCAGAGCUUGCUCUGGUGGAAAGUGGCGAACGGGUGAGUAACACGUGAGAAACCUGCCCCAAAGAUUGGGAUAAGCCUUGGAAACGAGGUCUAAUACCAAAUACCUUCCUUUUAACACAUGUUAAAAGAAGAAAUGCUCCGGCGCUUUGGGAUGGUAUCGCGAUCUAUCAGCUUGUUGGUGAGGUAACGGCUCACCAAGGCAUCGACGGAUAGCUGGUCUGAGAGGAUGUCCAGCCACAUUGGAACUGAGACACGGUCCAAACUCCUACGGGAGCAGCAGUAGGGAAUCUUGCACAAUGAGGGAAACCUUGAUGCAGCGACGCCGCGUGCGGGACGAAGGCCCUAGGGUUGUAAACCGCUUUCAGUAGGGACGAAAGUGACGGUACCUACAGAAGAAGCCCCGGCCAACUAUGUGCCAGCAGCCGCGGUAAU